rnacentral:rRNA from 1 species
UGGGGAAUUUUGCACAAUGGGGGAAACCCUGAUGCAGCGACGCCGCGUGAUUUAGAAGGCCUUCGGGUUGUAAAAAUCUUUUCUAUGGGAAGAAAAUGACAGUACCAUAGGAAUAAGGACUGGCUAAUAACGUGCCAGCAGCCGCGGUAAUACGUAAGGUCCGAGCGUUGUCCGGAAUCAUUGGGCGUAAAGGGUACGUAGGCGGGUAAGCAAGUUAGAAGUGAAAUCCUGUAGCUCAACUACAGUAAGCUUUUAAAACUGCUCAUCUUGAGAUAUGGAAGGGAAAGUGGAAUUCCUAGUGUAGCGGUGAAAUGCGCAGAUAUUAGGAGGAAUACCGGUGGCGAAGGCGACUUUCUGGCCAUAAUCUGACGCUGAGGUACGAAAGCGUGGGUAGCAAACAGG